GACGAACGCUGGCGGCGUGCCUAAUACAUGCAAGUCGAACGCACUCUCGUUUAGAUUGAAGGAGUUUGCUCCUGAUUGAUAAACAUUUGAGUGAGUGGCGGACGGGUGAGUAACACGUGGGUAACCUGCCCUAAAGUGGGGGAUAACAUUUGGAAACAGAUGCUAAUACCGCAUAAAACCUAACACCGCAUGGUGUAGGGUUGAAAGAUGGUUUCGGCUAUCACUUUAGGAUGGACCCGCGGUGCAUUAGUUAGUUGGUGAGGUAAAGGCUCACCAAGACCGUGAUGCAUAGCCGACCUGAGAGGGUAAUCGGCCACACUGGGACUGAGACACGGCCCAGACUCCUACGGGAGGCGGCAGUAGGGAAUCUUCCACAAUGGACGAAAGUCUGAUGGAGCAACGCCGCGUGAGUGAAGAAGGUUUUCGGAUCGUAAAACUCUGUUGUUGGAGAAGAAUGUAUCUGAUAGUAACUGAUCAGGUAGUGACGGUAUCCAACCAGAAAGCCACGGCUAACUACGUG
rnacentral:rRNA from 1 species